rnacentral:rRNA from 1 species
GAUGAACGCUGGCGGCGUGCUUAACACAUGCAAGUCGAACGAAGAUGCCGGAGUGCUUGCACUUUGGCAGACUGAGUGGCGGACGGGUGAGUAACGCGUGGGUAACCUGCCUUAUACAGGGGGAUAACAGUUGGAAACGACUGCUAAUACCGCAUAAGCGCACGGUAUCGCAUGAUACAGUGUGAAAAACUCCGGUGGUAUAAGAUGGACCCGCGUCUGAUUAGCUAGUUGGUGAGGUAACGGCCCACCAAGGCGACGAUCAGUAGCCGGCCUGAGAGGGUGAACGGCCACAUUGGGACUGAGACACGGCCCAAACUCCUACGGGGAGGCAGCAGUGGGGAAUAUUGCACAAUGGGGGAAACCCUGAUGCAGCGACGCCGCGUGAGUGAUGAAGUAUUUCGGUAUGUAAAACUCUAUCAGCAGGGAAGAUAAUGACGGUACCUGACUAAGAGCACCGGCUAAAAUCGUG